rnacentral:lncRNA from 1 species
UAUUUUUGUGCCUAAGAAUUAUGUGAAGUGAUGGAGUUUUAAAUUUCAGUUAUGUGCCUUUGUGGGCUAUUUUUUCUGUUAGUUUUAUUAUUAUUUUGUACCAAUAAUAAAAUAUAAUUUUUAAUAAUCCUUUAAUUAGUUGAUAUAUUAUUAUGAUUUAUUAUUUAUAUGUAUAGUUAAUUAUUAUUCUUUUAAAAGUAAAAAUAAAACUAAAAAUAAAAAUAAGAACAUUCACCCCCACUUCCCAUACCC